GGAGGAUUAGCUCAGCUGGGAGAGCACUUGCCUUACAAGCAAGGGGUCGG
rnacentral:tRNA from 1 species